CCUGGUGGCUAAGAUGGUAAAACGUCUGCCUACAAUGCAGGAGACCCAGGUUCAAUCCCUGGGUCAGGA
rnacentral:tRNA from 1 species